CCUACGGGUGGCAGCAGUGAGGAAUAUUGGUCAAUGGGCGCGAGUCUGAACCAGCCAAGUAGCGUGAAGGAUGACUGCCCUAUGGGUUGUAAACUUCUUUUAUAAAGGAAUAAACUGAGGCACGUGUGCCUUAUUGCAUGUACCUCAUGAAUAAGGAUCGGCUAAUUCCGUGCCAGCAGCCGCGGUAAUACGGAGGAUCCGGGCGUUAUCCGGAUUUAUUGGGUUUAAAGGGAGCGUAGGCGGGUUGUUAAGUCUGUUGUGAAAUGCCGCGGCUCAACCGUAGAAUUGCAGUUGAGACUGGCGGCCUUGAGUGCACUGGAGGUAGGCGGAAUUCGUGGUGUAGCGGUGAAAUGCUUAGAUAUCACGAAGAACUCCGAUUGCGAAGGCAGCCUACUGUAGUGUCACUGACGUUGAGGCUCGAAGGUGUGGGUAUCGAACAGGAUUAGAUACCCUUGUAGUC
rnacentral:rRNA from 1 species